CUCAGAAACUGAGUGUAGUGUUUUUCAAGCACAUAGUUUACUGCUUUAUGAGGAAAUGGCAGUUUCUGAG
rnacentral:snoRNA from 1 species